UGGGAUAUCUGGUAUCUUCCUGCAU
rnacentral:piRNA from 1 species